rnacentral:rRNA from 1 species
UACGAAGGGGGCUAGCGUUGCUCGGAAUUACUGGGCGUAAAGCGCACGUAGGCGGCUUUCUAAGUCGGGGGUGAAAUCCUGGAGCUCAACUCCAGAACUGCCUUCGAUACUGGAGAGCUCGAGUCCGGGAGAGGUGAGUGGAACUGCGAGUGUAGAGGUGAAAUUCGUAGAUAUUCGCAAGGACACCAGUGGCGAAGGCGGCGAUCUGGACGAUGACUGACGCUGAGACGCGAAAGCGUGGGGAGCAAACAGG